rnacentral:lncRNA from 1 species
GGCAAAAAAGAAACUAAAUCCCAUGAGAAAAAGAAGACCCUAGAUCCAGAAUCUAGAGGGGAAGCUAAAAAAAAAAGAAGGUACCUUGAAGGGGAAAGAGGAAGCAGGAGCACCGCCAUGAGGACGAAGGAGAGGUAAAGCUCAGCAAAAAAAAUAAAAGGAGACCCUAGAUCCAGAAUCAAGAGGGGAAGCUAAAAAAAAGGAAGAAACCUUGAAGGGGAAAGAGGAAGGAGGAGCACCGCCAUGAGGACGAAGGAGAGGUAGAACGGAAGAGGAAAGAGAUCCAAAGGAGAUGGACGAAGAAGAGGAUGAGGAACCAAAGAUUCUGUUUCCUCUACCACCACCAGGUCUCAAGCUCAAAACCGACUGAUCGCCCUGCUGCAUACCGAGAUCUAUAACACCUGAGAUCGGAUCGAAAAUCUCCAAACAAAAAAGAACAACGAAACGAUAGAAGAAGCUCUU